UCCGGAUGUCGGGUAUCAUUGCUAGAUGGUCACUUCGAUUAGUACAGGAAUUGGUUCCUGUGCUACCGGCUUAGGUUCGAACCUGCGGGGUCACACACAUUAGAGGUUUCUAUCUGAUCUGAUGGUUGGUGUAGAAUCCUACAUGUUUGGGACUCAGUGAUCAAGAAUCAAGAUUCUCUGAUCACGAGUUCCACACAUUAUGGGUACCGGGGUCAAGAGUCUCACUGGUUGGGACUUUUCGAUCAGGGUUACAUAUCGAUGAAUUCUGAUGCCCGAUUGCCCAUCGAAUUUGGACUCAGUAUUUAUGAGAGGUUUAAUUAGUGAUUUGAUC
rnacentral:lncRNA from 1 species